rnacentral:misc_RNA from 1 species
GAUGAAGAACGUAGCAAAAUGCGAUACUUGGUGUGAAUUGCAGAAUCCCGUGAACCAUCGAGUUUUUGAACGCAAGUUGCGCCCGAAGCCUUUUGGCCGAGGGCACGUCUGCCUGGGCGUCACGCAUCGCGUCGCCCCCCACAAUUCUCCGUAAAGGGCACAUGUGUUUUGGGGGCGGAUAUUGGUCUCCCGUGCUCAUGGCGUGGUUGGCCGAAAUAGGAGUCCUUUCGAUGGACGCACGAACUAGUGGUGGUCGUAAAAACCCUCGUCUUUUGUUUCGUGCUGUUGCUCGCAAGGUAAACUCUUUAAAAACCCCAAUGUGUCGUCUCUUGACGACGCUUCGACCGCGACCCCAGGUCAGGCGGGACUACCCGCUGAGUUUAAGCAUGUCAAUAAGCGGAGGA